rnacentral:rRNA from 1 species
UAGGGAAUCUUCCGCAAUGGACGCAAGUCUGACGGAGCAACGCCGCGUGAGUGAAGAAGGAUUUCGGUUCGUAAAACUCUGUUGUUAGAGAAGAACAGCGCAUAGAGUAACUGUUAUGCGUGUGACGGUAUCUAACCAGAAAGCCACGGCUAACUACGUGCCAGCAGCCGCGGUAAUACGUAGGUCCCGAGCGUUGUCCGGAUUUAUUGGGCGUAAAGCGAGCGCAGGUGGUUAGAAAAGUCUGAAGUGAAAGGCAGUGGCUCAACCAUUGUAGGCUUUGGAAACUGUUUAACUUGAGUGCAGAAGGGGAGAGUGGAAUUCCAUGUGUAGCGGUGAAAUGCGUAGAUAUAUGGAGGAACACCGGUGGCGAAAGCGGCUCUCUGGUCUGUAACUGACGCUGAGGCUCGAAAGCGUGGGGAGCGAACAGG